CCUACGGGAGGCAGCAGUGGGGAAUAUUGCGCAAUGGGCGAAAGCCUGACGCAGCGACGCCGCGUGAGGGAUGAAGGUCUUCGGAUCGUAAACCUCUGUCUGCAGGGAAGAACGGUCACUGUGCUAAUCAGCAGUGAAUUGACGGUACCUGCAAAGGAAGCACCGGCUAACUCCGUGCCAGCAGCCGCGGUAAUACGGAGGGUGCGAGCGUUAAUCGGAAUUACUGGGCGUAAAGCGCUCGUAGGCGGUAUGUCAAGUCAAGGGUGAAAUCCCCGCGCUCAACGUGGGAACUGCCUUUGAAACUGGCAAACUGGAGUGUGUGAGAGGAUAGUGGAAUUCCAGGUGUAGGAGUGAAAUGCGUAGAUAUCUGGAGGAACAUCAGUGGCGAAGGCGACUAUCUGGCACAUAACUGACGCUGAGGAGCGAAAGCGUGGGUAGCAAACAGGAUUAGAUACCCGGGUAGUC
rnacentral:rRNA from 1 species